rnacentral:rRNA from 1 species
AGAAUCUUUCGCAAUGGGCGAAAGCCUGACGAAGCGACGCUGUGUGWGCGAUGAAGGCCUUCGGGUCGUAAAGCUCUUUCGCCUGGGAACAAGAG